CUGGGGGCGGGGCUGCAGCCGCCGCCGCUGUCCCCGCCCGGUGCCUCCUGCGGGCCGCCGCCCCGGCUCGCGGCGCGCCCUCCCGAGCCUCGGAGUCCUCUCCACCUGGCGCUGUGCGAGAGUUGUUCAGGAACCACCGAGACAGACAUGGAAUGACCUAGUACCUUUAGAGAUGACUAUGAGAAUCAUGUGGAAAACAAAAUAGUCCAGUCAAAGCUACAUGAGCAAUCUCAUGGAUACCUAGUGACAGCUGGGACACAUGCGUUCCAGAGCUGGAAAGUGUGCAGCCUCUGAGGCGUCUUCUCCUUCCAUCUCCAGCAGAUCCAUACAACUUAUUAGAUGAAGCACUCUCCAUCACCUGACUCAGCUUCACAGUGUCCUGCUCCCAAGGUUCCAGGUGCUCAACUAUCCGUUGAUGGAAUGAAUGAACGAACAAAUGAAUGAAUAGCGUAUGCCUCCUUCUUUUCUGGGAACAAGCCCUAUUUACAGGAGAGGCUCCAAGGCUGACCUGCUGCUUGGCCAAAGCUGAUUGAUCGAGGGGUGGACACGGAACCCAAUCCAGGCCAAUCAUGUCUUUUUUCUGGGAAUUUAAAAUUUGGAACCGGAAAAAAAGAGACUGGGCACUGCUGAGUCCCUCUGUGCUCUAGAGAGCAGCCUGCUGCUCCUGCUGUUUGGUACCAAAGGCAUUGGUUUCUGCUCUUCUCUGCUUUCUUGAAUCGGAUAAAGAUCUACAUAUAUAACUAUUAAAUAACAACGCGAAAGUAUUUCGAUUAAGUGCCAAAAUGCGAAGUAGAGACUAUAAGUGCUGUAAAAGGUCACAAUCUGGAGAGAUCAGCGAAGGCUAGCUUCACUGUAUCUUGUUGCCCUGGCUUGCUUUCUUGAGGAGAGCUACUGUGAAUGUCAUUGUAUUUUCCAAGCCACAAGUUGCAGUAUAGCAGUCCCCCCUUAUCUGUGGUUUCACUUUUCACAGUUUCAGUUACCUGUGGUCAACCACGGUCUGAAAAUAUUUAAUGGAAAAUUCCAGAAAUAAACAAUUCAUAAGUUUUAAAUUGUGUGCUGUUCUGAGUAGCAUGAUGAAAUCUCGCACCAUCCUGCUCCAUCCUGCCAGGAUUGUGAAUCAUCCCUUUGUCCAGCGUAUCCACGCUGUAUAUGCUACUCACCUGUUAGUCACUCAGUAGCCAUCAGUUAUCAGAUGGACUGUUGCAGUAUUGCAGUGCUUGUGUUCAAGUAACCUUUAUUUUACUAAUGUCCCCAAAGCGUAAGAGUAGUGACGCUGGCAAUUCGGAUAUGCCAAAGAGAAGCUGUAAAGUGCUUCCCUUAAG
rnacentral:lncRNA from 1 species